ACAGGAUUUGGAAAGUGAGAAGGCAGCAGCUGGAGAGGAGUGUCAGUUUUCUGGCUGGGGUCAUGAAGCAGGGAGUUUGGGUGCUGGGGACAGUUUGUGGAGGACUGCAAUAUGAAGCGCCAGGGAAUUUGGCAGAAGGGGGCGGGUUACUGCUAACCACCUCAAAACGCACCAAGGAGUUUGAGGCCUGAACGAGGGCGCUGAGGAAAGUGGUUGGGUGGCAGGGAGGCCGUUGUUAGUGCCUGCCUGCCGCACCUGCCAUUGGGAGGAAGUUUUCCUGCUGGGGUUGGCUGUUGGUUGGAGGAAGGGAGUUUCUGUUGGGCCACAUCAGCAAGUGCCAGUGAGUUCAGCAGAAGGGGGUGGGUGGCGGUUGGCUGCCUCAGAACAUGUUGCUGUUGCCUGUCUGCACCUGCCGGUGGAGAAAUGGAGACUGAAGAACAGUUGGACAAUGACAGGUCAACUCAGGCAGGUGGCAAAGCUGUUCCAUUUCUACCUCCUCCUCUUGUGAGAGGUGACCCAGGCUCUCCAUCACCUCUGAAACGGUGGCUGGCUGCAGAGGACAAAUAAAAACACACAGAUGAAAAGCACAUUGUUUCCGGAUCCUGGAUCAAUCUACUUCAGCAUAUUCAGAUUGAAAGCUGUUUUUUCGAAAUGUGGAAUCGAAGACCAAGAAGCGCACUCCAUCCUCUGCAGCUCUGCAAAGGACCCCUGGAGUCCACGCUUUAGAUCAUGUGAUGCUUCAGUUCCAUGCCUUCCCCGCAAAAAAAUUACACCCCCACCCCCGCCAAGGCUGCUUUUAUUGUUGGGCCAGCCCGGAGAGAUCAUGUACACACAACCUCCGACUGACUGAAAAUGAACGGGUUCAAGGGUUCCCAGCACUGAGUCCCUUUGGCCAUCGUGGCUGGGAAUGAUGGGAGUUGUAGUCCAGUCUGGGAACCCAUGGUUGGGAAUCCCAGAAGUAGAACAUGCAUUAGCCUGCAGCAGUUUACCACUUACUUAAAAAGAAAUGCAAGCGUGUUCAAGUUGUACAAUAGGUGAGUCUUCAAAAGGGAUCAACAGGUGGCAGAACCAGGGUCCAAUCCACUGUUCCUAUGGAGUAACAUCUGACUACUCCCAUUACUGACCUGAAAGCAUGGCUGUGUUGUGCGUGUGCGUGUGUGUGUGUGUGAGUGUGAGAGAGAGAGAGAGAGGAGUGGGGGAGGUAAUUCACACAACCGAAUGGGUAGAAGUGUCUUACCCAGGUUUGGGAGCUGGGUGUGCUCUCAAUUUUCGGUUGUGUGGGUGCAAACAACUAGAGCCAGCAUGGUGUAGUGGUUAGAGUGCUGGACUAGGACCGGGGAGACCUGAGUUCAAAUCACCAUUCAGCCAUGAGACUGGCUGGGUGACUCUGGGCCAGUCACUUCUCUCUCAGCCUAACCUACUUCACAGGGUUGUUGUGAGGAGAAACCUAAGUAUGUAGUACACCGCUCUGGGCUCCUUGGAGGAAGAGUGUAAAAUAAAAUGUAAAAUAAUAAAUAAUAAUAAUAGGUAGGAGGAGGAAGAAGUGAUUAUGUGGGGUAGGACCAAGACCUGUGUAGCUUUUCCUCCUACCUUGCUUCCACACAAUCACUUCUCUCUCUUCUUCCUCCCUACAGCCAAAAAUUGGGAGCACACCCAGCUCCCAAACCUGGGUAGGACACUUGUCCUACCCAGUUUCCAGUUGCGUGAAUGAUCUCAAUGUAUAGAUAAAAAUAGUGUUGCCCUGUUGGUCCCAGGGGCAGGAGGAAUCCCAGAGUCAAAGCAGGGCAACACCUUUAUGAGGGUCAGUUAAAAAUGUAACAAAGUAGUCAGUAAACUUUAGAGUGCUUUUGAGUUCUUCAGAAUUCAUCUUUAGGUUGGACACAUGGGCGGAACUACCAUAAGGCAAGGGGAGACAGUUGUCUUGGGGCCCCACUGCCUUGGGGGCCCUCCAGAGCCACCUCACAUGACUCCCCAUUGCCCCCUGCCCAGCCCCAAGUCCCCUCAGCCACUUGCCCUGUUAGGCCCUCUCUCCUGCUUGUCCUCCUGGCCAGCAAUCUAAGGUGCACUGCUGCAGGCAAGCUGCAAAGAGCUCCUUUUCUCCCCGCCGAUCAGCUGGUGGGGCUUCCAGAGAGGCCUCUGUGUAGGCCUCAGUGAAGCCUGAACUGGAGUAGGCUUGCAGGGAGGCCCCAAGCAAGCAAGCAAGGAAGGAAGCAGGCAGGCAGGCAGGGCAGGCAGGCAGAGUGGCCCCCACAGCUCUCUGCAGCAGACCCUCUGCCCAGCCCAGCAUUUGCCAAGUAGAAUGUGAACUCCUUUUUGUGGUGUGUGCCCCCCCCCCGGUAUAUAGGGAUCUGCUUGCCAUAGGGCUUUGAUAUGGGGGGGGGACUGAGAAGUCUCUGAAUAUUUAAUUUAAAACAGCUUGGAAAAUUUGCUGGCUUAAAAAACAAUCUAAAAAAUCCUAAAAGUGGCUUGUUUCAUGGCAGAAAAUUAUAAAAACUUCUGGAACAAACAAUAUUAUAUUUAUUUUUUCAUUCAUUCACUUAUAAAUGCACUUAUGUUCAAGUUGUUUUGCAACCCAGAAGGUCUGAGUGAGAACCGUGAAGCAUGUGUUGUGCUUUUAUUUUAUUUUUCUUAUAUGUGAACUGCUCCCCAAUAACUCUCAGGGACUUCAGGGUAAAUCUGGCCAACACGUGAAUGCAGCACCUCCAUUCCAGAGGAAUGCCCUGUGUGAAAACCUCCUGCAAUCAAACUUUACUGAAUUUGUUCAGAAUUCUGAGAAAACCUACAUAGGCUCACACUGCAUGGUUGAAAGUCUCCUUUGCUAAUCUGCAGCGAGGGGGGCCAUUUUAAUAAUUAGUGUUUCUAGUGUGUUCUAGGCAUUAAAAGUAGCACAAAUAUAUAGUA